UGGAAGAAACUGCACUUGGCCUGUAUCGCCUA
rnacentral:piRNA from 1 species